UAUCACAAAAACUGCUGUGAGGUUUUCCAACAAUGGAUAUUUUUAUUGUUUAAAACAGAUUUUACAGAUGCAAAUGGAUAAAUAUUUAACAUGUCAAAUUGGCAUUUUAGUUUGAAAUAGGGAAUUUUUAAAAACGGAUUUUUAAUUACAUUCCUAAAGUAUAGUAGAUUUUACUGGAAAAAAGUUGAUCCAGAAAAAUAAAAAUAUUGAAGUGUGACUGAGUCAUCAUUUGAAUAAUGCAGAAUAGUCAGACUAAAAAGGCUAAUAUAUGUGCAAAGCUUAGAAAAAUUCUUGACAAUUUCACAUUUUUCUCUUUUUCUCUGUCUCCAAAUUUCAAUUUAAGAUGCAAAUAAUUUAGUUUAUCUAUCAUUUGAUUUG
rnacentral:lncRNA from 1 species